rnacentral:rRNA from 1 species
CGGGGUGGAGUAACGUGUGGGCAACCUGCCCUAUACUGGGGAAUAAUCACUGGAAACGGGUGACUAAUACCGCAUGUCAUUACGGAAGGGCAUCCUUCUGUAAGAAAAGGAAGUAAUUCGGUAUAGGAUGGGCCCGCAUCUGAUUAGCUAGUUGGUGAGAUAACAGCCCACCAAGGCGACGAUCAGUAGCCGACCUGAGAGGGUGAUCGGCCACAUUGGGACUGAGACACGGCCCAA